AUAGCACAAAACUUACACCAAAAUAAUAACCGACCAGGACAGAACAGAAAUGGGGAGAAUUUAUACAAACGCAAGAGAGAGACCAAUGGCAUAAUAGAAUGAACACAGGUGAACAGAAUGAACUAAUCAGGGCAACCAAGGAAAACUAGGUCACAGGGAGCGAAGCAAAACACAAUUGAAACACAGAACAGGCAGACAUGUUACAGAAAAAGA